CAGUAGCCGCGGUAAUACGUAGGGUGCAAGCGUUAAUCGGAAUUACUGGGCGUAAAGCGUGCGCAGGCGGUGUUGUAAGACAGAUGUGAAAUCCCCGGGCUCAACCUGGGAACUGCAUUUGUGACUGUAUAGCUAGAGUACGGCAGAGGGGGAUGGAAUUCCGCGUGUAGCAGUGAAAUGCGUAGAUAUGCGGAGGAACACCGAUGGCGAAGGCAAUCCCCUGGGCCUGUACUGACGCUCAUGCACGAAAGCGUGGGGAGCAAACAGGAUUAGAUACCCCAGUAGUCCCUGUCUCUUAUAC
rnacentral:rRNA from 1 species